rnacentral:rRNA from 1 species
AACGAACGCUGGCGGCAUGCCUAACACAUGCAAGUCGAACGAGACCUUCGGGUCUAGUGGCGCACGGGUGCGUAACGCGUGGGAACCUGCCCUUAGGUUCGGAAUAACUCCCCGAAAGGGGUGCUAAUACCGGAUAAUGUCUUCGGACCAAAGAUUUAUCGCCUUUGGAUGGGCCCGCGUUGGAUUAGCUAGUUGGUAGGGUAAAAGCCUACCAAGGCGACGAUCCAUAGCUGGUCUGAGAGGAUGAUCAGCCACACUGGGACUGAGACACGGCCCAGACUCCGACGGGAGGCAGCAGUGGGGAAUAUGGGACAAUGGGCGAAAGCCUGAUCCAGCAAUGCCGCGUGAGUGAUGAAGGCCUUAGGGUUGUAAGCUCUUUUACCCGGGAUGAUAAUGGCAGUACCGGGAGAAUAAGCUCCGGCUAACUCCGUG